UACACUUCCAUAUCAUUGAAGGAAGACAGGAGAGAGCAGGAACUUGGAGGCAGGAGUUGAUGCAGAGGCCAUGGAAGGGUGCUGCUUACUGGCUUGCCCCACUUGGCUUGCUCAGCCUGCUUUCUUAUAGAACCCAGGGCUACCAUCCCAGGGAUAGCACCACCCACCGUGGGCUGGGUCUUUCUCAUCAAUCACUGAUUAAGAAAUAUGCCCUACAGGCUUGCCUGCAGUCCAGUCUAUGGAGGCAUUUUUCUCAAUUGAGGGUCCCUUCUCUCAGCUGACUUUAGCUUGUGUCAAGUUGACAUAAAACUAGUCAGCACACCAACCAAGGUUAUGCUCGAUGACUUCAUAAUCAAGGGUGGAAGAUGGGUCAAGGGAAGAUAGAUACCUGUGCUCAGAAAGGGAGGGUGGGUGUGAGCAGUAGGCAUGGUGACAGCUGCUACAUGCUAGGGCAACACUUACUCCAGGGCCUGGCCAAACACCUGCAAUCAUACAAUGGGGGGUGCUUCCUUCUCAUGAGGGGCAAGGAUGAGGAACAAAGCCAAAAUUACAUUGAGCUCUUUUCUUAGGCUCCUGUGACCUUAAUGAGCCUAAGCAGGUCAGUGAGGUAGGUGACAGUGUCAAGUGCCCACGAGGCCUGUAGACUGGUUCUCCAAAAGCUGUAAACAGAAUAAAGUGGAGCGGAUAACGAUGGGGACCUCAGAGCUCACUCAGUCAAGGUCACACUCCAAUGACCACUGUGGACACUGAGAAGAUCAUUCAUUUACAUUCUGCUUAGCUCUAGAGUUGACCAAGCGCUGGCUCCUUCAUGGACCGCCAGGAAAGGGGACUUGGACAACACCUAAGAAAGACAAAUAGCUACCAAAGGCUGAAGGAAAAACAACAACAACAACCAACCUCAACUUAUCAACUGUCCUUCCUCAUCUCUGAGGUUUUGACCCAUCAGAGCCAGGCAGCAGGGGGAGGAGAAAUGCCUUCCGGCCAUGCUGCCAUCAGGAAAGGCAGAAUGGGGGCGGCUGAGGAGCAGCACUUGUCCCCUGCGGAAGAGAGGGCACAGACAUCACUGUAACGUCCAGCGUACACAGGAAGAAAACAGAGCUUGUGGUCAAUAACAGGAUUUGUAGGAUGGGGAUUCCCAGCCAGCAGGGACAGCCAUCUUGAAGACACUCGAGAACUCUGUGAGGACUGCCAGGAUGCUCUUUGAACAUGACUUUGGUGAUCUGUGGGCAUCUCUGCCCCUCUCCCACAUCACCAGUGUUUAUUAACAUCAUGGGUUUAAAAAAAUCUUUUCUAAUUUGAAC
rnacentral:lncRNA from 1 species